rfam:Gorilla gorilla gorilla genomic chromosome, chr5, whole genome shotgun sequence
GCUGGGUGUGGUGGCUCAUGCCUGUAAUCCCAGCGUUUUGAGAGGCUGAGGCAGGAGGAUUGCUUGAGCCCAGGAAUUUAAGGCUAUAGUGAGCUAUGAUGGCACCACUGCACUCCAGCCUGGGUGACAGAGCAAGACCCUGUCUCUU